rnacentral:rRNA from 1 species
AUUGAACGCUGGCGGCAUGCCUUACACAUGCAAGUCGAACGGUAACAGGUCUUCGGAUGCUGACGAGUGGCGAACGGGUGAGUAAUGCAUCGGAACGUGCCCAGUAGUGGGGGAUAGCCCGGCGAAAGCCGGAUUAAUACCGCAUACGACCUGAGGGUGAAAGGGGGGGAUCGCAAGACCUCUCGCUAUUGGAGCGGCCGAUGUCAGAUUAGCUAGUUGGUGGGGUAAAGGCCUACCAAGGCAACGAUCUGUAGUUGGUCUGAGAGGACGACCAGCCACACUGGGACUGAGACACGGCCCAGACUCCUACGGGAGGCAGCAGUGGGGAAUUUUGGACAAUGGGCGCAAGCCUGAUCCAGCAAUGCCGCGUGCAGGAAGAAGGCCUUCGGGUUGUAAACUGCUUUUGUCAGGGAAGAAAUCUUCUGGGUUAAUACCUCGGGAGGAUGACGGUACCUGAAGAAAAAGCACCGGCUAACUACGUGCCAGCAGCCGCGGUAAUACGUAGGGUGCGAGCGUUAAUCGGAAUUACUGGGCGUAAAGCGUGCGCAGGCGGCUUUGCAAGACAGAGGUGAAUCCCCGGGCUCAACCUGGGACUGCCUUUGUGACUGCAAGGCUAGAGUACGGCAGAGGGG